rnacentral:rRNA from 1 species
UACGUAGGUGGCAAGCGUUGUCCGGAUUUACUGGGCGUAAAGCGUGCGUAGACGGUUAUUUAAGUCAGAUGUGAAAGCCCCGGGCUCAACCUGGGAAUUGCAUUUGAGACUGAAUAGCUAGGGUACGGUAGAGGGAAGCGGAAUUUCCGGUGUAGCGGUGAAAUGCGUAGAUAUCGGAAGGAACAUCAGUGGCGAAAGCGGCUUCCUGGACCAGUACCGACGUUCAGGCACGAAAGCGUGGGGAGCAAACAGG